UACGUAGGUCCCGAGCGUUAUCCGGAAUUAUUGGGCGUAAAGAGCUCGUAGGCGGUUUUUUAAGUCUGAUGUGAAAGCUAGUGGCCUAACCACUAAAUUGCAUUGGAUACUGAAAAACUAGAAUACUGGAGAGGUAUGUGGAAUUCCAUGUGUAGAGGUGGAAUGCGUAGAUAUUGGGAAGAACACCAGUGGCGAAAGCGACUUUCUGGCUAUUUUCUGACGCUGAGGAGCGAAAGCGUGGGUAGCGAAGAGG
rnacentral:rRNA from 1 species